rnacentral:rRNA from 2 species
UAACCUGCGGAGGGAUCAUU